AGCGAACGUUUGCGGCGGGCUUAACACAUGCAAGUCGAACGGGCUGUUCCUUCGGGGGCAGUCAGUGGCGCACGGGUGCGUAACACGUAGGUAAUCAACCCUCUGGUUGGGGAUAACACUUCGAAAGGAGUGCUAAUACCCGGUAUGGCGCAGCGGUCUUCGGAUCGCGGCGAGAAAGACCCGCAAGGGUUGCCAGAGGACGAGCCUGCGGCCCAUCAGCUAGUUGGCGAGGUAACGGCUCACCAAGGCGAAGACGGGUAGCUGGUCUGAGAGGAUGAUCAGCCACACUGGAACUGAGACACGGUCCAGACUCCUACGGGAGGCAGCAGUGGGGAAUAUUGCGCAAUGGGCGAAAGCCUGACGCAGCCACGCCGCGUGAGCGAUGAAGGCCUCGGUCGUAAGACGUCU
rnacentral:rRNA from 1 species